CAGUCGCCGCGGGAAUACGUAGGGUGCGAGCGUUAAUCGGAAUUACUGGGCGUAAAGCGUGCGCAGGCGGUUGUGUAAGACAGGUGUGAAAUCCCCGGGCUUAACCUGGGAACUGCGCUUGUGACUGCACAGCUAGAGUAUGGCAGAGGGGGGUGGAAUUCCACGUGUAGCAGUGGAAUGCGUAGAGAUGUGGAGGAACACCGAUGGCGAAGGCAGCCCCCUGGGCCAAUACUGACGCUCAUGCACGAAAGCGUGGGGAGCAAACAGGAUUAGAUACCCCCGUAGUCCCUGUCUCUUAUAC
rnacentral:rRNA from 1 species